CACCAGAAAAAAUACCAGAUUCAGCGAGUGAAUUUCUAUGAACGCCGUUAGCCGCGGCCCAAAGAACAAGAAAUUUAAUCUUUGGCGGUGUUCAUGCUAAUGUGAUGUGAACACUAUAAAUAAAAAAUGUAAGGAAAGCACCAAAAAAACCUGCAGGAGGUCAGUGCAGAUGAAAAAGGACGCCUUAUCCAAGCUGUUGCCCAUUAUUGUGGAAUUUCACCGAUCGGAAACAAUACCACAACAGGGCAAGUCCGCAGAUAGUUGAAGUGCUGGAGGAGAUCCACUAGAGGAUCCCAGUGGGAUUUCGCUAUCUAUAUGAACAUCCUACCGGGCGUGUCCUCGCAAAUAAUACUAUCCCUGACUAGCUCUCCGUUGGGAAAUCGCUGGACUUCACCAUUACCAGCUACUUGGCAGCUUAUGCGGAGCUGCAGGACAUGUUGGUUUCUAUGGGGAGGAGGAAAAAGGAACAGCUGUAGGAGCCAUUUCCAGCUAUUUUCAGAAUGCUGGUCGACUUCCUGUAGCAUUAGACGGAACAGCCCCGUUUCCAAUUCGGCUCCUACUUCCUCAAAGCCCAAUAUGCCUAUUGGGACCGGAACUGGACUGCAUAAGGCUCGCGAAAGAUGGCAAAGCAUCCGUGGGACGAGAAGGAAGCUUUAUUCUACUAAUUUACAUGAAUAAAAACAUUUGUUGAACAUUCCA